rnacentral:rRNA from 1 species
ACUCCUACGGGAGGCAGCAGUGGGGAAUAUUGGACAAUGGGGGAAACCCUGAUCCAGCCAUGCCGCGUGUGUGAAGAAGGCCUUCGGGUUGUAAAGCACUUUCAGUGGGGAGGAAGGUUGUUGGUUAAUACCUAACAGCUGUGACGUUACCCACAGAAGAAGCACCGGCUAACUCCGUGCCAGCAGCCGCGGUAAUACGGAGGGUGCAAGCGUUAAUCGGAAUUACUGGGCGUAAAGCGUGCGCAGGCGGUCUGUUAAGCGAGAUGUGAAAGCCCCGGGCUCAACCUGGGAACUGCAUUUCGAACUGGCAGACUAGAGUCUUGUAGAGGGGGUAGAAUUCCAGGUGUAGCGGUGAAAUGCGUAGAGAUCUGGAGG